CCUACGGGUGGCAGCAGUGGGGGAUAUUGGACAAUGGGGGAAACCCUGAUCCAGCGACGCCGCGUGAGUGAAGAAGUAUUUCGGUAUGUAAAGCUCUAUCAGCAGGGCGGAAAGAAAUGAUGGUACCUGAGUAAGAAGCCCCUGCUAACUUCGUGCCAGCAGCCGCGGUAAUACGGAGGGGGCAAUCGUUCUCCGGAAUUACUGGGAGUAAAGGGGGCGUAGACGGUAAUGCAAGUCUGGUGUGAAAGGCGGGGGACCAACCCCCGGACUGCAUUGGAUACUUUGUAACUGGAGUGCAGUAGAGGCAAGGGGAAUUCCUAGUGUAGCGGUGAAAUGCGUAGAUAUUAGGAGGAACACCAGUGGCGAAAGCGGCUUUCUGGACUGUAAUUGACGUUGAGGCUCGAAAGCGAGGGGAGCAAAUAGGAUUAGAUACCCCAGUAGUC
rnacentral:rRNA from 1 species